CUUUGAGGAUCAUGAGGAUUAGCACUGCUUUCCCGUGACAGGUUUACGAUUAAACUACAGGCUUUGCCUAUUCAGGCUUUGAGGAUCAUGAGGAUUAGCACUGCUUUCCCGUGACAGGUUUACGAUUAAACUACAGGCUUUGCCUAUUCAGGUUGAUCAGUUGGUGCAGACGAGGCUGAGCUGAGGCUAGGGGUCCACGAUGUCUUUUGCUUCCGCUAAUAACUAUCUUGUCACCUCGUCCUCCAUCCCCUAAAUUGAGAAUUUCUAUUGUGUGGUAUAAUAUUAUCUUGUUGGACUUAGACUCUUAACCCAUAUUUCUUUUAAUGAAGCUAUCGUUGAUUAUGAUCGGAGUCACGAAACUAAACUUAUGCGAUCCUGAGUUCGAAUAUUGUCAUUUGAUUAGCAUCUCUUAAUGCCUUUCAUCUUAUCUCCUUUCAUCU